UGAACCCGGGAGACGGAGGUUGCAGUGAGCUCAGAUCGCAAAGGUAAAGAAGGAAGUGCUUGUUGUUAUUAGGGUGAGAGGGUAGCAUUUGUUAAACUUGGCUAGAGCCAGUGCAAAUAGAAUUUGGGAAGGUCUGGUGAUUUUUUCAUAGCUAUUUACAAGCUACUACUCCUCAGCAUGCAACUCAAAGGACAUUUUGAGUAUUAAUAAGAUUAUUUCAUGAACUGCUUUGAUUUUGUUUGCUGAAAUGUACCUUAUAAAUUAUGAUUUUACGAUUGAAGAGUAUAUGUAGAUUUAUAUUUUUUUCUCUCUCUUUUCAGAAUUAUGUUGAAUUUCUCAAUCAGGCAGAUUUCUAAAUGUGAGAUAAUUGCUAUAAAAUUGUCAGAAAGUUCCAAAGCAGUCUGAAACACAGUAGUGGGUUCAAUCAAUGAUUAGUUUCAUUUCUUUUCAAAGGCAUCACUAGAUUUUCCUUAUGGCUCUGGAGUUGUUUUCAAACUUUGUUCUUCUGAAUCACCUGAAGUACUUGAUAUGAAAAGAAUCUGCACAGGUGUAUUUACCUAGGUGAUCUCCAGUAUGGCGAUUCUUAAUUGUCCAUCUCAGCUUUUGGAAUAUGUGGAAAGCCAGGCUCUGAUCUGGAUAAUGACACAAGGAUGUUGGCAGAUUAUUAUGUCUCUUGAUUUCAGGGAGUUUAGCUUUAUUUUUGUAGUGAGGUGCAUUAGUUGAGGAAGAUCCAGUACCAGAUGGUAAUGUUGGCUGGGAGUGGUUUUCUCACCUACAUUUGGCAGCUUUACUCGGAAGUGGUGCUUUCAGUGCCUGAGACUUCCAGUCUAUGCUACUUAACAUGAUCAUUGGGAAGCUUUAGGUGGUAUAGAAGCAAUGACACAUCUCAUUAAAGGUCCCAUAACUAUGAACAUCUGACAUCUGUGCUGCAAAUAGGACUGAAUAAAGCCUUCAAGUGGUUACAGAUUCAAGGGGUAUGUUGUUUUUUAAAGGCACGGCUGAAAUUCGUUAUAUUUACCAGUCUUGUAAUUUCUAGAGGCAUUUUUGACUGGAAGACAUAGAUUACACAUUAAUAAACUGCUCCUUUCAAAGAUGACCUCCUCCUAAAUGGGUUCCCUCUUUCCCAGCAUUUAGACAAUGGUUUCAGCUGAUGGCUUAUCCAUGAUUUAGCAAUAAUCAUAACAAUAGCUAUCAUAAUUUGAUACCUAUAAUAUGCUAGGAUACUUUAUAUAUAAGUGAUACAAUAGCUCUCCAAGAUAUUCCCACUUUGUGGAUGAGGAACCUGGGGCUCUGAGGAAUUAAGGAACUUGCCAAAGACCAUAAAACUCCUAAGUGACAGAGCCAGGAUUCUGCCAGCUGUCUGGUUGCCCAGUGGAGUCUCUGUCCAUCUUGUCACCAGCCCCCGCACUGUGUACAGGAAUGGAAUCAGCAUUCAUUGCUAUAAACUGCAGUAAGGUAAGUGAACAUUCAUAAAAGUUGGCCUGUAGUUUAGUAUUUAAACUGGAAAAAUAAAAAAAGGCAAGACAACCAGAUUCAGCCUUCAAGGAUCUUACCAUCCAGUUCUUUUAUCACAUUAAAAAAUAACAGCCUGAUUCUUUAUACACAUUUCUAGAUGCUUUAAAUUUUUAAAAUAGUGAGCUGUUUAGUGAAAUCAGAAAAUAAUUUUUAAAAAUCUAAAUAUGUUCAUCCUAAAUUUGGCCUGGUUCCUUACAGCUGCAGAAAUUCAUUUUCACCCCAUUCCCCAUCCCCCUUCCUGAAGCCCUAAAGCACACACCCAGUGGGAGUCCCCUCUGUUUCCCAAAGGAAAUAUUUCAUUCAUAUAAUGUCUCCUUUGUAAUCAACACUGAGAAAUGUCACUUUGAUUAAACACAACUCUGAAUGACUAAGACCACAGUACAAUAAAUUCUCCAGAGCUAUCUUUCAGAACAACUGAUUGCUCUCCAGUCUUAAUCCUCCAGAGUCUUAUUUAAUCAAAAUGAUGUUGCUAAUUAAGGAUUAAAACCUCCGAAUAGAAUAAAAAAGAAGGAUUUUUCUUUCUCCUUUGGGCAGGUCAAGGAGGCAGAAUUUGCUGCAAGGAAGUAAAGAGUCCCUUCUACCUUUGCCAGUGCUACUUACCAGUUAAAAAAAGACAUCGUUUUUUGUGAUCCAUACUCCUGAAGGCCAAAAGCACCCAGUGGACAGACGAUGGCUCUUACGCCUCCAAUGCCAAGGCAAAUGGUCAGCAGUGCUACAUAAAACAGCCUGUGCUGCUCUGUUUUUGCUGGAUGGAGCCUUCUUUGCCACAAACAGAGUUGAGAAAGCUGGGGACAGAGGAGUGUGAGUGGAAGGAGAGGGGACCUAAAGUGACAAAAGAAGAGGCUUUCACAAUGUAAAGACUAUAUGCCCUUAAUAGCUAUUUGGCAACAGAUUCAUUUACCAUGAGGUGAGCCCUUUAAAUUAUUGAGUUUGAAAUGUUCCCUUUUAAGGUUAGCCAGAUAUGAAACUAACUGCUCUCUUUCUACCACUUAGUCUUCUCUUCUGUAGGUGUGACGUGAGGCCUGGCUAGACAAAGGGAUGUCCAAAGAGGAGGGACAGGACAACUAUUUCAUGCAGGAACUAUUAGGAACAAGGCACUUUUAGUUUGAAUGAUAUAUUUGUGUAACUUAGGCACUUUACUUCCAUCUUUUGAGAAAAUGUCAUAAUAGGCUGAUUGUGUUAAAUCAAAACUUUAUCCCUAUCUGUUGUAAAAUGAUGCAGUAAAGAGACAAAACAAUGACAUAUAUGAAGAAAAGUCUCCUCUGUGAUGUGUGCAAUUGUGUAUCUCAUCAUCAGUAUGCCUGCAUUUAGUAGCUCUGUAGAAGCACCAUGAUGUGUCAUACCCCCUGCCAGGUGAUGGGGGUCCGCUGAAGGAAAUGUUGAGUCCAUCAGAGAAGUCAGCCAUGCAGGUGGACAAUUAUAUUAUAAAGUGAUGGAUGCAAUCGUAUAAGUAUUAUAUGGGUGUGGUUGAACACAGAGAAGCUAGCAACAAACACUAUUUGGUUCUUGAAAGAAUAGCAGGAGUUUUCCAAUCAUGGAUAAGGGAUGGAAAGAUAAGGGAAGGUGACAAUUUCAGAAAGAGAGAAGAGCAUGUACAAGAUUAGAAAACUAGGGAAGGAGGCCAGGAGAAGUUAGCAAGGUUGGGGUUGCGUGUUGAACAACAAGUCUAGAGAGGUGAACUUAGAAUAGGUUGGUAAGGUUGUUGUAUGCUAAAUUAAUAAGUUUGGAUUUCAUUUUUUAGAUAAUAGAAGCAAUAUAGAGAUUUAUUUGUUCAGGAAGUCAGUGUUGUUGGUAGAAUGGAGUACAAGCUGGAGACUGACUGAGAACUGGCAGCCGAGUAAGUAGGCCAUUGGAAUGGUUAAAAAGAAGAAAGCUGCAUUUUUUCAGCUAGGGUAGUAGCAAUUCAGACAGAAGACCUUUCUUAUAUAUAACCUCUGAAAUUUAGUGACAGUUGGAAUUUGAUGGCAGCUGUAAGUGGAGGGCAACAAAGAAAUAACUUUUAGUAAAAAAAUGAAUGGAUGUAGAGUUGACUUAAGUCUUUUGUUUGCCAGAUUCCAAAGUUGGGAUUUCCAUCCUGUCUGAUGACUGACCUCAGAAUUUAGACUGAUAGAAAUUACCAUGUUAAACAAGAAGUCAACAAAUGCUACUGGUGUGGCCUGUUACCAAGAACUAAAGCUGUGAAGUUUCCAGGUUUGACUUAAACUCCAAUGGAUUCUCUGAAUGGUAAUUUACCACCUGCCUGAGAUUGUGUGAUAUGUUGAGUACCUGAUAUCUAUCCAUCUCUUUCUCAUCUGUCCCCCUACCAAUACUCAUUUCAGCUGCACUUCUCAUUAUUGGUGAACAGCAUGCUAUAUUCCCAAGUUGCUCAGAUCAGAAACUUGGAGCUAAUUUUUGACCCCCAUCACAUUUGUACCUUUAUUUAGUUGCCUUACAGCUUUUCACUUGUUCUCUCCUGAAUUGGCACUUUAUUGCUUAAACCAUCAUCCUGAGAUUUUCUGAU